AUUGAACGCUGGCGGCAUGCUUUACACAUGCAAGUCGAACGGUAACAGGUUAAGCUGACGAGUGGCGGACGGGUGAGUAAUGUCUGGGAAACUGCCCGAUGGAGGGGGAUAACUACUGGAAACGGUAGCUAAUACCGCAUAACGUCUUCGGACCAAAGUGGGGGACCUUCGGGCCUCACACCAUCGGAUGUGCCCAGAUGGGAUUAGCUAGUAGGUGGGGUAAUGGCUCACCUAGGCGACGAUCCCUAGCUGGUCUGAGAGGAUGACCAGCCACACUGGAACUGAGACACGGUCCAGACUCCUACGGGAGGCAGCAGUGGGGAAUAUUGCACAAUGGGCGCAAGCCUGAUGCAGCCAUGCCGCGUGUAUGAAGAAGGCCUUCGGGUUGUAAGGUACUUUCAGCGGGGAGGAAGGCGUUAAGGUUAAUAACCUUGGCGAUUGACGUUACCCGCAGAAGAAGCACCGGCUAACUCCGUGCCAGCCGCCGCGGUAA
rnacentral:rRNA from 1 species